rnacentral:lncRNA from 13 species
GUUCUAAGGGUUCUAGGAUGAAUAAGGCCCACUCUCUCCCUUCUAGAACUUCAGCUGAGGGUGGUUGAGGCAGAGGUCGGGUGAGGCUCAUCGCAACAGAUUAACAGAGACAGAGUCCAAAGGCAACGUGAUGAAUUCCAAGUACAGCAUCACAUCCUUAGAACAUCGAGGGGUCAAAAGGAACUAAGACACCUUCUGAGUGAGACCCUGAUUCUGUUGAAAAGGCCUAGAGUGGUGGGGUGACUGCUACUGCUCUGGAUCAGGAGUCACUUCUGGUGCCUGGUGGGACAGGAGAGAGGACAAUGAGCAAAAUAACCCAGAAAGCACGAAAUUCAGCCGUUUGGAGAGAGGAAAGUGAAAGGGGCACCUCAUUGUCUCCCUCCGCCCACCCACCUGCACCUGACUACCAUGGGCUGUGCCCUCAUGGAGGCACCAUCAAAUGCUAUCAGACCACAGGGAGAGCGUCCUUCAUCCUGCCUGAAGAUGGCAUCCAGGCAGGUCUGAGAACACCUCUCUUCAGGUCUGGAUCAGGACUCCUUUCCGGUAACGAAUUCAUUCAUGAAGACAAACAUUUAAAGAGCAGGCCCCUUCUGUGAUGCAGGUGCAGGCCCAUCCCCUCCAUGCCAUUGAUGUCCUUUGUAAGUGCUCAGUGAAUAAUUAUGAUUUUCUUCCCUUCUCUUCUUCCCACCAUCCUUCUUUGUAAACUUGAUGCCUUAUCUUCCAUCUUUGCUCUAAAUCCCCUCCCAGACAAGUUCUAUUUUCUAACGACAAGAGUAUCUGAAAUUGCAAUCGUGUGGCCUCUUUCUACCAAGUGAAAAACACAAAAGACACAUCCAUUUUUGAUACCUUUGACUAUAAAACCUCUGGAGGAAGUUCUGUUUUUCUGAAAUGGCUUUUACGGGAAGAGUUAGGGUGGUAAAUCUGUAAAGCCUGAGUUGGCUACCAGGAAACACUUCAUGGUGGCUGAGAAAUUAUUCCACGUGCUGAACCUUAAAGUGAUAACAUAAAAUGGCAGCCUUGACAGACCCCUUAGAAUCCAAGGCUGAGAUUACCUGUUUCCAGCUGCUUCCAGCUGAGAAGCGGCUCCCAGGACAACACUGAGUAACUCAAAAGCAUUUCCUCUUCAAGUGAUUAUUCAAGGAGAUUCAAGAGUUUAAUUCCGUAAUGCCCAUCCAGCUGCUUCCUAGAUUCUUCCAGAACAUGGGCCUUAUGCUCCUAAAUUCACUUCCAUACUUAGAAGCAGAACUGGGAACUGAGCUCCAUUUUUUGAUACCAAAAUUUGUGCUUUUCACUGUGCAUUUCACUCCCUACUGGUACACUAAUAUCCAGGAUCAUGUAUUUACUUUCUACAGUUACCAUUAUAUGUGCUCAUGUAAACUGUCUGGCAAUUAGCAGCAAGAAGAUUAUAGGAAGACAUUCUGCCUAUCCAUCUCUUUAUACCAUGCCUUCUAAAGAGGAUGUGCCUGACUUUCAGAGAGAAUCCUUGGAUUUGGUUAGGAAUAUUAGAUCCCUAAAUAAAAAUGUCUACAAUCUUUUCCCCA